AUUGAACGCUGGCGGCAGGCUUAACACAUGCAAGUCGAGCGGAGAUGAGGUGCUUGCACCUUAUCUUAGCGGCGGACGGGUGAGUAAAGCUUAGGAAUCUGCCUAUUAGUGGGGGACAACAUUCCGAAAGGAAUGCUAAUACCGCAUACGUCCUACGGGAGAAAGCAGGGGAUCUUCGGACCUUGCGCUAAUAGAUGAGCCUAAGUCGGAUUAGCUAGUUGGUGGGGUAAAGGCCUACCAAGGCGACGAUCUGUAGCGGGUCUGAGAGGAUGAUCCGCCACACUGGGAAUGAGAAACGGCCCAGACUCCGACGGGAGGCAGCAGUGGGGAAUAUUGGACAAUGGGGGGAACCCUGAUCCAGCCAUGCCGCGUGUGUGAAGAAGGCCUUAUGGUUGUAAAGCACUUUAAGCGAGGAGGAGGCUACUGAGACUAAUACUCUUGGAUAGUGGACGUUACUCGCAGAAUAAGCACCGGCUAACUCUGUGCCAGCAGCCGCCGUAA
rnacentral:rRNA from 1 species